AUGGCGCGAGCAACCAUUUCCCUGCCGGUCGUAGUAAUAGCGCUGAUGUCGACGUUGUCGCGGCCGUUUUGCGGCGGAGCGGCGGCGCCGUCGGAGACGGUGGGGAUGCCGGGCUGUGACACUACCUGCGGCAACAUCAACGUGCCGUACCCGUUCGGCAUGGGCCCGGCGAGGUGCUACCACUCGGCGGGGUUCAACCUCACCUGCGACCGAAUAAGCCACCCACCGCGGCUGCUUCUCGGCUACGACGGCACACUCCAGGUCACCGAAAUCACCCUCUGGAGCAGCACGGUGCGCGUGGUCCGCGCCGCCACCCGCGCCAUCAUAAAAACCACCUCCUCGCAGGACCGGCGGAACACGGCCUUCGGCGCUAGUUUCACGGGUGCCAACAGCGGCGUGGCCGUGGCCGUGGCGUCGCCCUACAAGCUGUCGCGCGGCAACGAACUCAUCCUCACGGGGUGCAACGCGCUCGCGGAGCUGCUCGACGGCACCGGCAACGUCGUCAGUGGCUGCGCCUCUUUCUGCAGGCUUACCGGGGCCGCCGGGCCAAGAAUAUUCCUCGACGUGCCUUGCUCCGGCAGCGGGUGCUGCCGGGCGCCCAUCUACAACCCGGUCGCCCCCGGGGAACUGCAGUUCAGAUGGCUCAACGGGAAGAACCACUCCCAGGACAUGGCGGCGCUGCCCACGUACGUUUUAGUGGCGGAGGAGGGGUGGUUCGAUCAGGCCGCGGUAGCCCACCAGCUGAGGACGGGCCAGUCGGUAGCUGAGCUUGAGGUUCCCAUGGUUUUACAGUGGACGGUCAAGCAAGGGCUAGCGGUAGCUAAUUUCUCGCUCACCGGCAAUGGUGGCUGUUCCGGGGAAGUAACCCACAACCUCUGCAAGAGCAAGCACACCGUCUGUGUUAAUCUUGGAGAUGAAGAUGGAUACAUCUGCCAGUGCUGGUUUGGCCACGACGGCAAUCCCUACGUCACAGACGGCUGCAAAGAUGUAGACGAGUGCGAGCAGGCAGAGCAAUACGGGUGCUUCGGCGAGUGCACGAACCUGCCAGGGACGUUCGACUGCCGGUGCCCGCCAGGAACCCACGGCAACCACACCAUACCCGGUGGUUGCGCCAAAUCAACCAAAGGGAUGGCGGGAAAGUGCUUUGUGAAGUCCAGAGGCAAUGGCAGACUGACCAACUUAGGUGUAAGGAUAACCUUGGAGAAGUGGUUUGGUCCUGACUCCUGA
rnacentral:rRNA from 1 species